GCGAGCGUUGUCCGGAAUUACUGGGCGUAAAGGGUGCGUAGGCGGCCCUUUAAGUCAGUGUGAAAGCCCGCGGCUUAACCGCGGAAUGGCAUUUGAAACUGGAGGGCUUGAGUGUCGGAGAGGGUAGUGGAAUUCCCAGUGUAGCGGUGAAAUGCGUAGAUAUUGGGAGGAACACCAGUGGCGAAGGCGACUACCUGGACGAUAACUGACGCUGAGGCACGAAAGCUAGGGGAGCAAACAGGAUUAGAUACCCUGGUAGUCCUAGCCGUAAACGAUGGGUACUAGGUGUNGGNGGUUUCGAUACCNUCCGUGCNGCUAGCNAACGC
rnacentral:rRNA from 1 species